rnacentral:rRNA from 1 species
GCAGCCGCGGUAAUUCCAGCUCCAAUAGCGUAUAUUAAAGUUGUUGCAGUUAAAAAGCUCGUAGUUGAAUUUCGGGGUCAGCAAGUUGGUCGUGCCACCGGUAUGCACUGGCUUUGCUGAUUCCUCCUUCUUGUAGAACCGUAAUGCCAUUAAGUUGGUGUUGCGGGGAAACAGGACUGUUACUUUGAAAAAAUUAGAGUGUUUAAAGCAGGCUAAGGCUUGAAUACAUUAGCAUGGAAUAAUGAAAUAGGACGACGAUCCUAUUUUGUUGGUUUCUAGGAUUGACGUAAUGAUUAAUAGGGAUAGUUGGGGGCAUUAGUAUUCAAUUGUCAGAGGUGAAAUUCUUGGAUUUAUUGAAGACUGACUACUGCGAAAGCAUUUGCCAAGGAUGUUUUCAUUAAUCAAGAACGAAAGUUAGGGGAUCGAAGACGAUCAGAUACCGUCGUAGUCUUAACCAUAAACUAUGCCGACUAGGGAUCGGAUGAUGUUAAUUUUAUAAUGACUCA